ACUUUACAGAGCAAACCACAACUUUUGACAGGAUCAACAAACGCAAAGACUUUGCAAGAAGCAAAAACUACUGCAGUCGAGGCCAAAAAACUUCUCACCAAACUUAAAAGAAAGGAUGUUCGACUAUGGGGAAACUGUUUUUCUACACAAGGAUGGAACCACUGUGUAAGUGGCUUAUUGGAAACACUAACUUUUUACUAGUUCUUUUAAAUUUCAACUUACGCCAC